rnacentral:rRNA from 2 species
CAACUUUCAGCAAUGGAUCUCUUGGCUCUCGCAUCGAUGAAGAACGCAGCGAAUAGCGAUAUGUAAUGUGAAUUGCAGAUCUACAGUGAAUCAUCGAAUCUUUGAACGCACCUUGCGCUCCUCGGUGUUCCGAGGAGCAUGCCUGUUUGAGCGUCAGUA